rnacentral:misc_RNA from 1 species
GGCUCAUUACCAACUGCAACAUACCUGCACGGAUAUAGUAAAUGUAUUAAAAAAAAAUAUGCAGAACUCAAUUGUGAGGUUUUAUUCUCAGCAAUGCCAAAAAAAAUUGGAACCUAAACAACCAUCACUUGGGAUAAUUUACAAGCAAUGAAUGUAAAUGCUACAUCAGUUUGCAAUGCAUAUAUUCCUUUCUUCUGAACUCUACUAGUUUGAAGCACGAAUAGAAUUGGCCAUAUAACUAUGGAUAUCUUUUGGUAGUUAAAUCCUGUUUGAUGAAUUACUUGCUCCUGUUCCCUUGCUGAGUUUGGAAAAUCUAACACAUUCCUGAAAGAUUCUCACUGGAAAUCAAUCACAGAUUACAGACAUCAAGUUCCCUAGAUAAUAAUCUGGUUUCUCACUUCUAUAAUAGAAGAAUCUCUUCUUCUUACACAUUGAUUGAUCAUUGCAGUUAUCUCUUGGAACAGACAGGCUAGUUCUGUUAUGGCCCAUCCUUUUCUCCUUUUCAAUAUGAGGUUCUCUCAGAAAAAAAUAAACCACACAAAAGAAUCUAAUACUCUGACUGAUUGCUGAGUGUAUAAGAAAAGGGACUUGAAGUCCCUGGUAAGAUUCUAAAGUCCCUUUUUCUUUCCAGAGAACUUCUCAGUAAGUGCUAUGAGAAUAUAGCACAGAUAUUAAUCAAGAAUUAGAUUAGAAAUAGAUUAACAUAAGACUGGACAGUAAAAUUCAAUCGCUAGAAUCAAUCAUUAACUUUUCCAAUUAACAAAUGCCAACUGCCAUCUUAUGGCAGAUUCAACAACAAAGUCAACUAUUUAACACCUUUACUUGCUUCCCAAAAUAAAUCUGAGUUGAACAUCUCAACUCUUUAUACAUAUCAAGAAUAACAGAAGUGCGUGCAUUUCUCAAUAAGUACAUGGAUCGUGGUAUAAUAUAAUAAGGUUUUCUGACAAAUGAAAUCAAGAAGCAACAAUAAGUGGAUAACAAUCAAUGGAAGUUAUAGAACUAUUAGAUUUUCCAUAAUUGACAAUACCUGCAACUUGUAUACUCAGAGAAAAACCAAAUUUCCAGCAUGUUAUCCAUCAAAACCCAGGCAAACCCAUAAUUUUAAACUUGUGAAACCACAUCACUGGAACAAAGAAAUCAACCUCUCCAGAAAAUCAAUUUCUCAAAUAGAUUCAUUAUACAUCAGCAAGUAACAAAUUCAGAUUUACCAAGGAAAAGGCACAAAGGCUUUGGCAAUAACAAAUAGAACUAUAAAUACACAAUCAAAAUUCAGACUAAAGAUAUAAACAUAGUGGAUGUCAGCUUCUCCACAAAACCAUUCUGGAAAUUCAAUCAAUGAAAUCACUAAAGUUCUAAACACAGAAUAUAAAACUACCACAUCAGCAUCCAAUGCAACGCCGGUAUAACAAAGGAAAAAAUAACACAAAAAAAUAACAGUAACAAUCAAAACCAUAAAAUCCAAAAUUUCAAAAUCAUUUAACACCAUAAAUCAAACAAAAGAAAUUAAUUUGAAUCGGUGUCAG